ACUCCUACGGGAGGCAGCAGUGGGGAAUAUUGCACAAUGGGCGCAAGCCUGAUGCAGCGACGCCGCGUGGGGGAUGAAGGCCUUCGGGUUGUAAACUCCUUUCGCUAGGGACGAAGCUUUUUUGUGACGGUACCUAGAUAAGAAGCACCGGCUAACUACGUGCCAGCAGCCGCGGUAAUACGUAGGGUGCGAGCGUUGUCCGGAAUUACUGGGCGUAAAGGGCUCGUAGGUGGUUUGUCGCGUCGUCUGUGAAAUUCUGGGGCUUAACUCCGGGCGUGCAGGCGAUACGGGCAUAACUUGAGUGCUGUAGGGGUAACUGGAAUUCCUGGUGUAGCGGUGAAAUGCGCAGAUAUCAGGAGGAACACCGAUGGCGAAGGCAGGUUACUGGGCAGUUACUGACGCUGAGGAGCGAAAGCAUGGGUAGCGAACAGGAUUAGAUACCCCGGUAGUCCCAU
rnacentral:rRNA from 1 species